AUUGAACGCUGGCGGCAUGCUUUACACAUGCCAGUCGAACGGCAGCGCGGGCUUCGGCCUGGCGGCGAGUGGCGAACGGGUGAGUAAUACAUCGGAACGUGCCCAGUAGUGGGGGAUAGCCCGGCGAAAGCCGGAUUAAUACCGCAUACGACCUGAGGGUGAAAGCGGGGGAUCUUCGGACCUCGCGCUAUUGGAGCGGCCGAUGGCAGAUUAGCUAGUUGGUGGGGUAAAGGCCUACCAAGGCGACGAUCUGUAGCUGGUCUGAGAGGACGACCAGCCACACUGGGACUGAGACACGGCCCAGACUCCUACGGGAGGCAGCAGUGGGGAAUUUUGGACAAUGGGCGAAAGCCUGAUCCAGCAAUGCCGCGUGUGUGAUGAAGGCCUUCGGGUUGUAAAGCACUUUUGGCGGGAACGAAAAGGACUGUGCCAAUACCACGGUUCGAUGACGGUACCCGCAGAAUAAGCACCGGCUAACUACGUG
rnacentral:rRNA from 1 species